GUCCUCAAUGCAGUGACACAUAUACUAAAAUUGGAACGAUACAGAGAUUAACAGGGCCUCGGCACAACCAUGACACACAAGUUCGUGACGUGUUCCAUAUUUAU
ensembl:snRNA U6 U6 spliceosomal RNA